AUUUAUAUGUCUAUUUCUCAUUUUAAAUAAGUAAUUUGAGUUUAGAAUACUAUUAGAGUAGCUCUUCGAAGGAAAUUUAAAAAAUACAGACAACCCCUUUGUAGCGAAAAUUCAAUUGCUGUAACAAGAAAAAAAUUUGGAAGGCCUGGUGUUUCGGGAAGAAAAUGAAAAGUAGAUCAAGUUGAAAUUAAUCAUCCUGACGACAGUACCCUCUCAAAAACAGCUCGAGUUAAGUUGGCUAAUGUGGUACAAGGUGAGGAUGACAUAAGCAUAAAAAAACAUCAAGAUGCUUUAAAAAAAGAAAUAAAAAAACAGACACCAAGCUUUGAUAUAAUCAAAGAUAAAAUGAAAAGAACUUGUGAGUACAGACAACUUUUCUGCCAUGCCCACACAACUGCAGAAGUUCUGGAAGAAUUUCCGUGUUUACGACUAAAUAUUUUUUUUACAGCAGAUGUGCUUUUGCUGUAUGGUGUAGAUGUAACCAAUUUAAAAAUGAAAUUUCUAACCCUUUAUGAUGCUGUGAUCAAAGAAGCAGCCAAAAGAUGCGAAAAGUAUUGUGAAUAUUCAAGAAUGAUAAACAAACACUUAGAAGAAACUUUGGACAAUGAUAAACAACAGGAUUAGAAGGUGAUGUUUGUUACAUUGCUGUUACCCUCAUUAUUUGGGGAGAAAGAAGAAUUGUUUUUUCCCUUACCAAAGCAGGAAAUACUACUUAGUCCAGUCAUAUUGUCACAAGACGACGAGUGGAAUAUAUCAGUCGACAAGGAAGUUUUGUUUCCUAAAACUAUUUGCACUUUUUCCGCGGCUUUUCAAGCAUGGUUUGCAGCAUUUUGGAUAUUCAGCAUUGAAUUCCCAAAAGGAUUGUCCAAUACAUGUCAAUAUUUAGAAAAAGUGCUUCUUGGUGGGAAAGGAAAAGUGCCAAAUAUUGUCAGCAAAUGGGGCAACCGUCUUUUGCACUAAAAUUUAUGACUUUUGUUUUUUGUCUGUUUUUGUUGUAAAUCUUUAUAAUUUAUUUAUGUUUUUUUGUCACUAAAUUCGAAAAAACUUCUGAAUAUUUGCAAUAUUUCUAAAUUUUAUUAUAUUUUAUUGUGCUACU
rnacentral:lncRNA from 1 species